rnacentral:rRNA from 1 species
UACAGAGGUCCCAAGCGUUGUUCGGAUUCACUGGGCGUAAAGGGUGCGUAGGCGGUCGGAUAAGUCUGAUGUGAAAUCUUCGAGCUCAACUCGGAAACUGCAUCGGAAACUAUUCGGCUGGAGGAUUGGAGGGGAGACUGGAAUUCUCGGUGUAGCAGUGAAAUGCGUAGAUAUCGAGAGGAACACCAGUGGCGAAGGCGAGUCUCUGGGAUGAUGCUGACGCUGAGGCGCGAAAGCCAGGGGAGCAAACGGG